ACAUUAUUGGUCCUGCUCAAGCGAAUUCCUCCAAAGGGGAAAAAACUUCUGGUUAUAGGGACAACGAGUGAAGUGGGCUUCUUAGAUUCAGUUGUUAUUUGUGAUGCUUUCUCUGUCACUUACCAUGUUCCUAUAUUGAAGACAGAUGAUGCGAAGAAGGUGCUAGAACAGCUGGAUGUUUUUGCUGGUGAAGACAUUGAUGCAGCAGCAGAGGCGCUGAAUGAU